rnacentral:rRNA from 1 species
UACGUAGGGUGCAAGCGUUAUCCGGAAUUAUUGGGCGUAAAGAGCUCGUAGGCGGUCUGUCGCGUCUGCUGUGAAAUCCCGAGGCUCAACCUCGGGCUUGCAGUGGGUACGGGCAGGCUAGAGUGCGGGUAGGGGAGAAUGGAACUCCUGGUGUAGCGGUGGAAUGCGCAGAUAUCAGGAAGAACACCGAUGGCGAAGGCAGUUCUCUGGGCCGUAACUGACGCUGAGGAGCGAAAGCGUGGGGAGCGAACAGG